rnacentral:rRNA from 1 species
UACGUAGGGUGCGAGCGUUAAUCGGAAUUACUGGGCGUAAAGCGUGCGCAGGCGGCUUUGCAAGACAGAUGUGAAAUCCCCGGGCUCAAGCUGGGAACUGCAUUUGUGACUGCAAGGCUAGAGUACGGCAGAGGGGGAUGGAAUUCCGCGUGUAGCAGUGAAAUGCGUAGAUAUGCGGAGGAACACCAAUGGCGAAGGCAAUCCCCUGGGCCUGUACUGACGCUCAUGCACGAAAGCGUGGGGAGCAAACAGG